GUAAAAAAAAAUAUAGAGAACUGAUAAGAAACAGUUCCGUUUUAGAUGCAGGUUUUUUUGGGGCGUCGACUGAAUGAGCGCACAUGAUCAGACGGCUCUGUCUGUGCGCAGCAUGAGCUGUGUGUGUGUGUGUGUGUGUGUGUGUACUGCUGCCUCCACCCACCAGAGUAGUGGCUGAUCAUGUCUUCAAGGCACUGGAAGGUGAGACCAGGGGAGAUGAAGUACCAGCUGUUGUCCAGUCUGUGGAUUCGAUAGUGCUUGAUGACCUGGUGCUUCACUGACAGUGGGCUCGCUGAUUUGAGGAGACGGGUAGUCCUGAAGCACGACCGCCAAAAUGUCUUCGUCCAACCCUGAGAACAACAUCACGAUAACAUGGGUUUGAAAACAGACGUGUCCACAACAAGGAAACGAUCAGUCGAUGGAACGUUUUGACAUAUUUGUCCGACAGUCAACAGAAUUUGGUGUCGAAAUAUUGGAUGAGUUUCAGCUGUAACUGUAAAGAUUUACAGGAUCUGACAAACCCUGAGGCAUCCACCGAUGAUGAUGUUCGCAAAAGUUACAGACAUGAUUAUAUACUUCUAGGUUUGGUCACUUCACUGUUUGACUUGUUAUAAAUGAUAUUAAAAUAAACAGGAUUCAUAACUCU